UAAUCCAGAGAAAUAAUCUACUGAUAUAGCGGAAAUUUUCCUGGUCAGCUUUGAACCAAGCUGUUUGUGAAAUGCUGCUCUGAAGCUGGGAGUUAUUAGAAGUCUGUGAUGCCAGCCUGUGUAUAAGCAAGCUUGUUGGUAUCAGAUUAUUCUACACUUGGAAGGAACCUACAGUUAUUUUUUUUCCUGUUACAACCUUUUAGUCUUUUUUUCAUCUAUGGAAACAGUUUUGUGAACUUUGAGAAUAGUCCUCUGUGCAUUACAAUGUAUUUGCUGAUGAAAUGUUAAAUCAAACAGCAGCUUGAUAAUUUUUAAAGGUCAGAGUUACUGAAGCAAAAUACACACUGCAUACACCUCUUUUAACUGCUUUUUUUUGGUUUUCUGCUUUUUUUUAUUUUCUUUUUUUUUAUUUUUUAAUUUAUUUCUUUUUUGGUAAAUUUAAAUGGAAUCUUGCAGUGUAUACACAAUGCUGGCGGUAAAAUUUGUAAGGAAAAAUAUAAUUUUGUCCUACAGGAAUUAAUAAGUGUGAUGAUGUUUGCAUCUUCUAUUUACAAUUCAUAGAUGAUUAAGAAGAAAACUUGAAAAAUUAUAACAAUGUUUCCUUAGGGAAAGCCCAAGACAGUUAGUAAUUCAUAUUUUUCAGUAUUUUCUUCAUCACUCUGAGAUUCCAGGAGUAUGUCUGGGUCGAGUGCUUCAGUAGUUUAAAUGAAAGAUGAGGUUUGGGAACUGCAAUUCUGCAACCAGAGCUGAAUGACGCAGCUGCUGCCACCGCAGCUGAGGGAUUGCUGCUCAUGAGGCUCAAAAAGAAAUACUCUGGCUGCUACAGCAAUAAAGCUUUCUAAACAUACCAUGUUAGACAAGGAGGAAUGUUCUGCAGACAUGCUUUAUUAUCUGGGAAUUGGACUGUGAUGAACCUUGUGAGUACUUUCCAACUCAGAAUAUUCUAUGAUAUUCUGUGAUAUUUUAUGAUACUUUACUAGGAUGAUUCUGUUUUAGUUAUAUCUGGAUGCCUGGCCAUAGUUUCUCUUCUGGUUGUAGAUGUAAAUGUUUGGAAUAUUUACAAAAGUUUUAAGUAACAGCAAGCCAGUAGAAUUGCAUGGGAUUUGGCACAGGUGCUUUUGGAUAUACUGUGUUCUUGUGCAUUCAGGAUAGAGAAUUGCACACUCAAAAGUAAAAAAUGACUCAGUAAUAACAUCAGAGGUGCAAGUGUCCUAAGUAUUGCUGCUCCAGAUGACAGACACAAAGCCUGAGAGAGGACCAGAGAAGUUAAAGCUUUAUCUUGGCCGCAUAGAGAGGCAUUCAGCCUUUCAGCAUGGAGGUGUUGAAGCUACUUCUCCCUGCUGGAGUCCAGGAGUCCUUAGAGUUUUGGUUCAUAGGUUCACCACAGUUCAUAGUUCACCACAUAAGAAACAGGAAUGAUUAUUUAUUCUAUUCGAUGUCUGUUAUCUUCUCCCUCAUUAAUUUUAAGACUGAAUUCCUCCAUUCAUCCAUUCUGUGCACAUUAUAUCACAUGGAAUUUUUUUUCUUCUUCUUUUGCCUUAUUUGCUAAUAUAAGGCAGAGGUGAUGGUGUAAUUAUUUCUGUCAAGGUAAUUAUUUUAAAACUUAAUUUCAUAAGAAGCACUUAUUAAUUUUUUCAACUGCAGUGGAUGAAAUUAAAGAUCUAAUCUUUCCUGUACUCAGGAGGGAGAGCAUUAUUCUAAUUUGCAUAAGUUUACAUUACAAUAACAACAACAAAAAAGGACAAAAAUUGCAAUUCAAUGUAGAUUAAGAUUUGAAAAGCAUUAAUUUUUUUUCUUAGAAGGAUGAAUUCAGCCCACUGUGGUACAGCAUCAUUCACCCUCAAAGGUUACUCAGUUUAGCAGAAACUGUACAUCAGAGUUGAGCCCUGGAAAGUGCCGGAUGUUCUCUCUUUCUUCUUCACUCCCAUUGCAAGAAGACCUCAGCACCUGAUGGACCUUGAUCAAAUAGUUUUAAUUAAGGGCUUGGAUCUCCAUCUCACAAGUCAUUUACUUAUUUGCCUCUUUUAUAUUGGUUAUCUCUACUUGAAGCAGCCGUUAGUUUUAUGCGAUAUAGAAGGACAAAUCUUGACCCAUACCUAAAAUAAGACACAUGUUUUUAUAUUAGCCCCUGAAUAUGCCAUCCCAUAAGUCUUUUUCUGAACCCAUAUUACUUUUUGUAUCUAUGUCCACAACACCCUUAUGCUCUUGAUCAAAAUAAUAAAAAAAAGCCCCACGUGGAAGCCACACACAGGUGGUACCAUAAAUGACAGAGUUAUAGUUUAUUAAUUUGACAGACUAUCAUCUAGACAAGGGGCCAAGUCUGUAAUUAGAAGUUCUGCAGUGCAAGCCUCUGUUAAUAGCAGAACAUCAAUAUGCACAUGGCUGUACAUGAAGAGUGUUUCAGUAACUGAGGAAAAAGGAUACAAAAGUCAUCUGUGAGGAUGCUGGUGGAGGCAGUCAGAAGGAAAAAUACCAUUUGUUUCUGCAGCUGUGAGGUUGCUCAGUCAUCAGCACAUUUUCAUUCUCUGAAAACACAAAAAUGAUUGCUUUCAAAUCUGAGUGCCUCUCUGACUCUUAGACAGAGUGUUCUGAACAAUCUGAUGCUAUGGAUGAUGUAUGGAUGUAGAAAGACUGAUGUGAUUUGCAUGUUUUUGAUGUAACUGUGAAUGGCGGGAGCAGUUAACAGAAAUUAACUGCAUGUGUUUUUAAAUAGAGAGCUGAAACUUUGGGAAAGCUUUUGCAAAAUACUCAUAUGCUUUACAUGCAAAAUUCUUUCUGAAAUUUAUUGACAUUUUAAUGAUUUAAAUAAUUUCACUUAAAGGAGAAUAUUGUACAGCAGACUUAGAAACAAAAGCCAUUUGUCACCAUGCUAAAAUUCAUUAACUUGGUGGAGUGUUAUAAUAUUGAAAACAUCAAAUUAUUGUAAUUAGCAUUUCUGUGAUGUAUAUCAGGCAGGAAAAACUGAGCCUCUGGUUUGCCAAUUUUUCUGCAUUUUUAUUCAUUUCUCCUCGUGGCUGAGACCCUCCAACUCCUGUGAAUGUCCACUGUGACUGAACCUCCCCCCAAAUAUGUUUAUGCAAUAACUUAAAGUUACAUAAAGUCAAAAGGAUUGCCCAAACUGCAACAAUUCUCCACCAAAAUAUGUGAGUGGAGAUCCACAGCCUCUUGCUGCUGACCACCUUGUGUUUGAUGGGGCAGCAAAAUGAGCCCUGUGAAAUACCUUUCCCCCUGCCCUGGGUUCUGCACAAUUGCUCUGCUGUAAGCAGUGAAAGGGGGAGGUAAUCUGAAAACCAGACUGUGUGACUGUGGAUUAGCAGCUUUCCUUGGGGUAUUGUAAAGGAACUGAGCCCUGCAGUGCAGGGCAGUGUGGUGAGGUCUGGACUCUCCUCAUGCCCAGUGGCUGUGUAACAAAAUCUUAGGGUAAUGAAUAGACAUUUUAAACCCAUUCACUGUGGAAACAUAUGGGGUGAUUUGCACCAUGCAAAAUAUUUCAAUUCCAGUUAGCUCCAGAUGAAAAUCUGUGUGUACUAUUAGAGUGUUGCUGACAGCACGUGGUUUCUCUUGGUAGCAGGGGGACAUCUUGCCUUUUGCUAUGAACAUAUAUUAGUUAAAUGAAGUUAUUUCUUGCUUUCUUUUUCAGAGUAGGUUUUGCUGAGCCAAACCAUCCUGAAAAGCUGAAUAGUGCAAACCACAGCUGCUGUGGCUGAAGCCAAAGCAGUUCUUUUGUGAAGGAAGCAUAGGAGGUUUUAGAAAAAUGAGGGCUUCAUGUAGCAUUUUAUUCAUGAUUAUAGCUUGAAGAGAAGAGUAAAUGGGGUGGUGCUGAUGGGGAAAGGGGAGCAAUGCAAUUGCAGAAUGUUAGCAGACAAUUUGGAGACCUUUAUUAAGGCUGUGGUAUACCCUCCUUCUCAGGAGAUAAUGCACACACACACCACAGUCUUAAUUAGCCUUGAUGAUAUUUUAUCUCCUUGGCACCAUGCCUAAAGAGGAGCACUGCGAGGGGAGUUGGGAUGUGCCUAAAUCCCUCAGGAGCCAUUUCUGGUUGAACAAGGUGCAGGUCCUGCCCCUCAGCACAGCUCAGCUGUUUCUGACCCCAUCAAGCUGCCAGGGUGCUGGUGUGGGCUGGGCACUCAGCCUGCUGCCUGCCUGGGCAGAGGCAGGGAGAAGCAGAAGUUAACCCUGCACAGGAGAGUGUGAUGUUCACCUUUUUAACACCCACUCUCCAAUGUCAAAGUUGUGACAUGGAGAAGUCCUCACUGACAUGCACCCAGAAGCCACAGACCACGCCUCUCAAGCCUUCUCUCAUGGAGGAGGAUAAGUAGAUAAACACAGGUUUAAAUUGCAGAAAAGGGAUUUUACUGAUCUUUGAAAACACCUCAGUGUUCUUGGAGCUGCAUGUUUUGUCACACUUGCUAAGAUCUUCAGCAGAGGAAUGGGUAGGCAGUAAGAUUAGGGUAUUCACAAGGCUCCCAGCAGCUUCUGUCAAAAUAAGCAUUAUUUGGUUAACAGAACAAGCUAUAAUGCCUAUGUAUUUUAUAGAAGCAUCACUAUAUUUUCCUGGCAUAUUGCAACAGUUUUGGGAGUAGAAAAGAGUGUAAUCAUUUAAUCACAUGUGUGUAAGUUAUGAUGGAUAGGUUUUGUUUUCAAAAGAAAAGCCUAAGUGAUUUUUGGAUCUAAAUUUACUUCUCUAGUGGCUUAAGUACUAGAAUGAUAUAAUCAUUAGGGUUGGAAAGUACCUCCAAAAUCAUCAAGUCCAACAUUUGAGCAAACACCACAUUGUCAACUAAACCAUGGCACUCAGUGCCACAUCCAAUUGUUCCUUGAGCACAUCUGGUGAUUCCACCACCUCCCUGGUCAGUCCAUUCUAAUCCUUAACAACCCUUUCUGUGAGUAAAUUCCUCCUGAUUUCCUACCUGACCCCCCGCCCCCGGUGCUGAUUGCCUGGGAGAAGAGGCCAAUCCUUACCUUGCUAAAACCUCCUUUUAGGUGGUUGUAGAGAGGGAUAAGGUCUCCCUUGAGCCUCCUCUUCCCCAGACUAAACAAGCCCAGUUCCCUCAGCUGUUCCUCAUAUGAAUAAUUCUCUAAAUCCUAAAAAAAAAUAGUGAGAUUUCACUGAAAAUCAGUGGUACAUAGGCUCUAAAGUUUUUUACGUGCAUUUAAAACUGUAUUAAAUGAUUUGACAAUAAGCAAUUUAUGGAUAAAAUAUUAAUUUUAAGUUAAACAGGAUUUCAGGAUAAUUUUAAGAUUAUUCUAAAGUGCCCCUAAAACUAAUAAGAUAGAUAAGUUUAUAAUUGUACCUAUAAUUAUCUUAAUAUAUUUACAUGAUUAUGAACUUUUUGACACCUGUUUUAGGCUGUUUCCAGUGUUUUUAAUAAAAAGUUAGAUAUGAUCUGUGUGCUGUCAGAAUGACUCCUCACCAUGAACACUUAUGUAUACGUACACACCAUUCCAUUUCACUGACUGAUUCCAUUUUUACUGUUGUGUAAAAAAGCUUCUUUACUUUCUAGAAAUGGAAUCUGUUCUCAUUCUUCACAGGAAUGACUACUUCCCCCUCCUAAAAAAAUGGUGGAGGUGGUAACCCAGAGCUUGCUUGGGGUGUGGCUAUCUGUUAAAGGCAUUUCUAUAAAUCAGGACUGAAAGAUUGCAUGCACUGUUUAGAUACCCAAAACACUGGAUAAGCUGCUUCUUUGACUGAAGGAAAACCUUUCUUCUGCUUGAUUUUGAGCAAGGAACUGAUGUCAGAUCUGCCUCUUAUGGAAAUGUGCCAACCACAAAACUCCUGGGUAUGCUGCAAUGAGCCUCAGUCUCUUCUGCAGCAGCCCCACACACUGCAACAGCUGUGAGACUUUGACACAGAUCGUGCCUGUUGGAUGUGAGUGGAGUGUGCUUCCUGCCCUGCCACUUACCACGAUGUUCAAUUCACUCUGAACUCCAGGACCUCCUCUGGGUGUUCUUGUACAAGAGCUAGAGCUUCUGUAUGUGAAGGACACCUUGGAUUUCUAAAAGCAUAACCCUAAGGCAGACAAAAGGACAGAGAAAAUGGGACUUCUAAUAAAAGAGGUAGAAUGAGGAAUACUCAGUACCUCUCUGUACUUGUUUCAUACAGGAGAUCCCAUAAAGAAGAUAAUGCCAUAUGACAGUUUCCCUACACUGAACCUCCUUUUUUGCCUGAAAAACUAUUUUUGUUAAAAAUUUAACUGGAAAGUGGAUUUAUGACUUCUCUUUGGUAUCUUAACCUUGCAUUAAUUGGAAGCUGCUAUAUGGAAUUAUUUGUGUUGAUGUGUUUCUUGUCUUUAUUGCAGAUGCUCUGUGCUUAUCUUGCAUGAGGAGUGGGCAAUUUUUCUUGUACUUUUUCUGAAUUCCUUUGGUGAAAAUAUUAGAAAUUUUGGUAGUACUUAGGGCCUGGAGUAAAUUCCAUAAAAAUCAGGUCUUUGGUUUUAUAUUACUGCUGAAUUUUUAGAUUAUAUACUUUUUCAGAAAACUUGGAAAUUACCCACCUCCCAAGAAACUUCAACUCCCCCCCCUUCUACUAAUUUAUUAUCCAUGGGUAAAUGGCUUCUGAUUUCAGUGUCAUGAGGGAACAAACUCUAGCAGGCUCAAGAGAAGUGGCACAGUGAACUUGCAUCCAGAUGUGAUCAGUGAUUUUCUCUUGUAGCUGAUGACCCUUUCUUUUUCCCUCUAUGAAAAGACUAAAUCAGAAGAGGGUAACAGGGAAUUCAGAGGCUAUUUGAAAUGCUUCUUUCCACAUUUUUCUUCUUCUUGUUCAUGACUUCUGCAUCCUGAAUAGUUUUUAAAGGUGCCCUCAGCUGUUUGUCCUCUGAAUCAUGCAGGCACCAGUGGAAAAAUGCAAGAGUCUGUUACAUACUUUAAGGUAUGAGAUGGGAAAAAGUUGCAGCUUUUUAAAUGGUUGCUGUUUCAGAGCAGUAAGGGAAAUAUAAUUUAAAAUUUCUCAGGCAUUUAUAGAUUCAUAAAACUUCUUGAAAGCUAUGCCUAAAAUUUAGUUAUUCACAAUAUGAUUUUUUUCACACCUGAAUACUUAAGGUAGAGGAAUGUAAUACAAAGUCAUCUGUGUGAAAAUGCUGUGCCACAUGCCUCAUGCAUUUAUAAUGCUUUUAAAUACACAAUAAAUAUUGCUAUUCAAAAUGGGA